UGGGCUGGCCGCAUGGUCUUUGGUCCACCGACGGGCGGGGAUUUACCCC
rnacentral:ncRNA from 1 species